UUUUCCUUUAUGAAUUUGUUAUAGCCUCUCUUCACAGCAAUAGACACCCCAACUAAGCCAGCAUACAACUUUGCGUGAGAGAGUGAUCCUUAAGAUUGCAUCCAGAUUGCACUGUAGUCAGUUCUCCUCUUCCAUUCCUACAGAGGACCUGGCAGUAAGCCUAUUCAUCAAGAUGCUUUUCUGUUCUGCAUGACAUCCCAGAAUUAACUGCCCUGCCUCUCUGGUUUUCUUCCUCUCUUUGUGGUCAUUUAGGGAAAAGCAGGACUCCUUCCCCAUGGUUUCUACAUCCUUCAACAUUGUUAAUAAAGUGUGAUCUACCUGUCAAACAUU
rnacentral:lncRNA from 1 species